CGCGGCAGGCCUCAGCCGCGCUAAGAUGGCGACUCCCAUGCAUCGCCUCAUAGCCCGGAGACAAGCGACUUCCCUGGUGGCGCAGUGGUUAAGAAUCCGCCUGCCAAUGCAGGGGACACGGGUUCGAGCCCUGGUCCGGGAAGAUCCCACAUGCCGCGGAGCAACUAAGCCUGUGCGCCACAACUACUGAACCUGCGCUCUAGAGCCAGUGAGCCACAACUACUUGAGCUCAUGUGCCACAACUACUGAAGCCUGUGCACCUAGAGCCUGUGCUUUGCAACAAGAGAAGCCACCUCAAUGAGAAGCCUGCGCACCACAACGAAGAGUAGUCCCUGCUCAGCAACGAAGACCCAGCGCAGUCAAAAAUAAAUAAAUUUAUUUAAAAAAAAACAACUACUACUGAGUAGUAUUUCCUUGCUUGAAACAUUAGUUCUUCACAUUAGGAUUGGCUUAAUUUUUGAACAAAUGCUAAAAAUAAAUUACUGUCAAAAUUACAGAAGCUGGCUGACAAUGUGGGAAUUCAUUAAUGGAAAGCAUACUAUAAACAAUAUAUGUCCUCUUAAACCCUUGCCUAUUUAAACAUUCAUUCAUUUUACAAACAUUUACUGAACACCAAUUAUAUGUUCUCCAGGGAUAUAAAGGUGACUGCUCUAGGUCGAAAUUAAGAAUCCAGCAUCCCAUCAUGCAACCAUGUUUUGAGAAAAUUUAAAUUGCCAUGUAUCGUUAGUCCAGAUAAUUGAUUAGCCUAAUGUGUGGAUUGAUAUUCACAACUUCCAUUUAUUUGUGUAUUACUUUAUGCCAGAUUCCUACUGCUUUCUAUACAAACAUCCCAGUCUGUAGAAUGGGGAUAUUGUUCUCAAACUCAUUGGGUUGUCGUGGGGAUUAGAUGUAUUUACGUAUAAAUAGUACUUAGCUAAAUUCCUGGCACACAGUAAGUAUAAACCACGGUUAUGGUCUUAUCUAAUUCUCACAAUAACCUAGUGAAGUAGAUAUUAUCCCAUUUUUUAGAAUAGAAACUGAAGUUCAAAAACUGGCUUGUUAAUGAGCCUAAAGCUAUGUAGUGAAAGAGCCAAGAUUUUUAAAAAAUUUUAUUGUUGUGAACUAUAACACAUAUACAAAAAAGUUCAGACAACAUAAAUAUGUCCUUAAUAGGUAAUUAUAAAGAGAACAUCCCAUGUAACCACUACCCAGAUCAAGUAUUUAAUAAAAAAUUGCCAAUAUACUAGAUGCCACCA